AUGGGGUGCUGCUUUAGUAAGGAGCUCAACCCCGGCCUGCAGAAUGAGAGGAGCGGUCUGUUACAGCCCCCGCUCCACGACGGGCUGAGUGAGGUGACAGAGCAGGUCAGGCAACAUGCCGCGGCCGUAGCUCAGCAUGUGUGCUUGGACGAAGAGAAGACACGUGUGGCCGAAGGAGCGGCCCAGAAGAAGAAGAAGCCGUCGGAAGGUAAAGAAAGACAUCCGCAAUUUGACAACAAAGUUGAGACCGAGGUGGUCAGCAAGGACAGCGCCACACCGACUGAGAGGGAUUUAAAACCAGUAAGCACCGACAAGAAGAAGGAGGCUAUUAUUAUCACGACUAGCACAAACAUACAUACAAACACGGACGCAAAGGCGGGCGUGACACACACUGCCAGGAGGCCCAGCGGUGAACUGGCUCCGUAUAAGGAGGUGCCCAGUCCAGUCAGACAGAAGAUUAUUGACAAUGCCACAAUCCGGUCUCAAUGGUUCAGUCAGCCCCCAGAUCAGAAGAAACAUCACAAACCAUUGAGCGCUCGGUCGGCUCCUUCCAGGUUACCCUCCGGUAACUGCCAGGCCAGCGUCACAGCGAGUGAGGUGUCAGAUGACCAGCUGCCGCCUCCGCCGGUCAGCGUUUGUCAGGAGACACAGCAGGAUUCCCCCAAAGCAGAGCUCCAGGGUGAGGAGGAGGUCUGCGUCGUCACAACAACACUCGGUCAAGGUUUCGAAACGCGGACCUGGAGCUUCUACAGCAUAUGUUCCAUCGACGCCGAUGACCUUGAACAUGACCACGUCGACGGCCAAUCCCAAACAGCUGGAGUACCACAGUCACGGCACACAGCUGAAGUAGAAACAGCUGCUCUGCCCUGCAUAGUGGUGUCUCCGGUCUCCAGCCAAUCACACGCAGAGGCAUCCAAGGUCUGUGACCAGUUGUAUGUCACAGAAUCUAAAACGACCCGCCAGUCACAUGGCGAGGAACCGGCUCCGGCACAAUCACAUGCCGCAGAACAUUCCUCCACCGCUCCGUCACAGACUCUCUCAGACAGUUCACUCUCAGCAGGGCAGACCACCGUACCUCAUCCUGUUGUAUCUCCACAGCCGGUAGACCCUCUAUGUGACCCGCUGCCUCCGUCCAGCAAUCAGAUAAACAGCGAGGAACCUCGGGCGUCCACACAGGACAGCCCUCAGCCUGAAGGUCUGCCUCGCCACAAAGCUGCGCAGGAAACAGAUGAGUCCAAGGAUGAGAUGUUGAUGACGUCACACUCAGUUAAGGGGUCAGAGGAGUCUGUGUACGUGGUGAGUGUGUACUUGAAGGGCCACAGAUCAGCAGAGAGACUCGUCGCAGAGGGAACAAUCAUCGAAGAGGAAGAAUCGGAUGUGAAUGUGGAUUCUGACUUUAACACCGUGGACGAUCGUCUGCACGAGUCUGACCUGUUAACACAGCAGCACAUCCAAUGCAACCAAUCGCAACCAGCAACUGAGACCCCUGAACCAGAUACUUCCAAUCAGGUCUCUUCAAAGCUCGACCUCAACCUCAGACCGCUUCACGAGGGGGAAGUGACGUUGCCUCAGUGUGCAGGAGAGAUCGAGAUGGAUAAACUCCCCCUGCAGAGCGAGGCUAUCCCUGUGAGUGUCCGAAGCCACAGUGAGGAGGGUGAUGUUGGCCACAGCGGCACGGCACCUACGACUCUCACCGAAGUGUCCUCAGUUUCCACCGUCUCAGCUGUGUCGUCACUGCCCGUUGAACUGACCGCCCUCUCCUGCCACACGAACCUUCUCUCAGAUGGAGAAAACACAUCUCAUUGGCGUGACUCCAUCACAUCGGAGAAAUUAGACGUCAAUUCAAACGAUCCAACAUUUGAACUGAGCAGUGUUAAGUUCCCCAGUCGAGAUGUCGAACCUCUAUUCACUGAAUCUGACGAACAGCUCGAAGGUGCGCUGGGGCCUCUGAACGAUGACUCUGAGGAGCUUAUUGAGGACGUCCUCAUGAGCGGAGACGUCAGACAGGCCGACAAAAAACCAAAACCGGCCAUUUCUCAGAACAGCAUAAAUGUUGAGAAAGGUGAUGUCACAGUUGGUUUACCUGAAACAGCUGAAAACACCUCUCCCCUGGAGACGAGUGACGGAGAAUGCAUCGUGUUGUCAGAGCCCUGCGAUGCCUGUGCGGCUGUAAAUACAAACAUCACUCUGCACGGCCCCGAGGACCCACAGAGCAGCAUCGAAGGUUCAGGUCUCAGUCUUCUCACGCGGCCUCCUCCUGCUGAAAGUGAGCUUUCUUUUACUACUUCCUCCACUCCACCUUCCUCCUCCUUGUCCCCGUUUACAUCUUCUGAGGACGGUGAGCAUAAUUUCUGUCCAGAGGCUGAAGCUGAUGCUACCGACAGUGGAUGCAGAGAAACACAACUGAAGGUAAAUCCACCAGAGGAGGUUUUCACGCAAGAGACAACUGCUGCACAGGGGACUGAUAUUGAUCUGCCUCUUGCUAUGCCAAUCAAGCAUGCAUCUGCAGUAGAACCGCACUCCCAAACUCCUCAAACAGCCUCUGGACCCCCAGAAUUAUUAAUAUCCAAUUUUUCCUCUGACUCUAUGAUGUCUGAAAUCCAGCAGGACCCCGCUGACCAACCUGGAGAUUCAUCAAAUGGCUCAGACAAAAUGAACGAGAUGAAAAUGUGUACAUCUCAGGAGGAGCACCCUGCACUUGACAAUGAUAUUCCUCCUGAAACUCCCAACAUCUCAGCUACUGAGACUCUGUCCCAAAGUGUGGAAGUCAUUGCUGAUACCAGCGUCUGUGACUCAUAUGUGAUUCCUAAUGACUUAAGCUGUCUGGAUGACAUAGCCUCAGUUCUGGACUGCCAGAAGGACCCCGACACGAUCACCGUGGACCCAGGUCAGAUUGACGUUUACGCGUCGACUCCAUCGUACGAGAUUCAUUUCCUGGGUCACGGACCGUUGCCGACUGCCGAAGAGGGAGAGAGAGAGGGAGGGAUGAGGGAGAUGGUGUCAGAGCUGCUGGGAGAGGAUGCGGACUCCUCCAUCUGCCGCCUCUAUCCCCAACCCUGGAUCAGGCUGGGUCUGGAGGAGAGCUGCGUUGCGUGGGCCCAGGGUGUCGCUGAGGCCGAGCCCAGCCAGGGCGAGAGCCAGACUGGCACCGACUCUGAGCACAUCCCAGCCCUGGUCUCAGAGCUCCAGCCCUCUAUGGCUCUGCUGGGAGCUUACCCCUUCAGUACUGUGAUGCCUCAGGGACCCUGUGUGUGGGACUGGCACACAGAUUGCACUCAGCCUGUAAGUGUUCAACAUGUGAGACAGUUGGGUUCAGUGAAAGUAUUCAAUUUAAUGUCUUAUCUCCAAAACUAA
rnacentral:lncRNA from 1 species